GACAGAGGAUGCAAGCGUUAUCCGGAAUGAUUGGGCGUAAAGCGUCUGUAGGUGGCUUUUUAAGUCCGCCGUCAAAUCCCAGGGCUCAACCCUGGACAGGCGGUGGAAACUACCAAGCUGGAGUACGGUAGGGGCAGAGGGAAUUUCCGGUGGAGCGGUGAAAUGCGUAGAGAUCGGAAAGAGCACCAACGGCGAAAGCACUCUGCUGGGCCGACACUGACACUGAGGCGCGAAAGCGUGGGGAGCAAACAGG
rnacentral:rRNA from 1 species